AUUCACUGAAAUUUUAGGAUGGAGACAGAAACCAGACAUAUCCAGCAAGAGUGCAGGCUGGUUUUCAUGUCCUGGUUUUCAUCAGUAUUUUUACAUUAUUCACUGUGAACACUGCUAUGGUUUGAAUGUGUGUCCCUCAAGAAUUCACAAGUUGGAGGGUUGGUUGUUCUCCUGCUUGGUGACGUGAGGGGUGAUGGCACCUUUAAGAGGCAAGGCCUAAUCGGAAAUUAGGGGUGGUGCUUCCCUUGGAAGUGAUUAAGGUAGCUUUUGUGGGAUCCUGGAGCUUUUGUAAAAGCUAGAUCCUGACCCCUUAGUUUCUCUCUGGUUUCCUCUUGAUGAUAUGAUCUUCUGCUCCCACAUGUGCUACUGCCAUGAUGCCAUGAGGUCCUCACCAGAGACUGAAUUGAUGAGGCUGCUCCAUCUUGGACUAUCA
rnacentral:lncRNA from 1 species